rfam:Mustela putorius furo unplaced genomic scaffold scaffold00308, whole genome shotgun sequence.
CUGUCUCUUGCUUCAACAGUCUUUGGACAAAACAG